rnacentral:rRNA from 1 species
UCCGUAGGUGAACCUGCGGAAGGAUCAUUACCAAACCGAAGCUGUCCUUUGCCAAACCGGCAUUGGAUGCUUUAACCCUUUGUGAACCAAAACUUAACUUUCGCUUCGGCAGCGGGGACCUUUACCGGUCUCGUGAGCCUGUCGGUGGCAUCAUAUUAAACCUGUGUUUAACUAUGUCUGAACAAUAAGAUUUUGAAUUAAAUCAAAACUUUCAACAACGGAUCUCUUGGUUCCCGCAUCGAUGAAGAACGCAGCGAAACGCGAUAGUUAAUGUGAAUUGCAGAAUUCAGUGAAUCAUCGAGUCUUUGAACGCACAUUGCGCCCAUUGGUAUUCCAUUGGGCAUGUCUGUUUGAGCGUCAUUACAUACCCUCGACACCUGUCGGUAUUGGGCCGGCUUUAUGAAUGCAAAUUCAAGCCGGUUUUAAAGUGGCAAGCUCUGCUGACCACUGCUCCAAGUCAAAAACAUAGUAAUAACAAUACGUGUAGAAGGCGAAGAGCGGUUGGUUCGGCCUGAACAACCAAUUUUUGUGGUUUGACCUCAGAUCAGAUAAGGAUACCCGCUGAACUUAAGCAUAUCAAUAAGCGGAGGA